rnacentral:rRNA from 1 species
GUUACAAUGGGGGGUACGAGAGGGCCGCUACCACGCGAGUGGAUGCCAAUCCCCAAAACCUCUCUCAGUUCGGACUGGAGUCUGCAACCCGACUCCACGAAGCUGGAUUCGCUAGUAAUCGCGCAUCAGCCACGGCGCGGUGAAUACGUUCCCGGGCCUUGUACACACCGCCCGUCAAGCCAUGGGAGCCGGGGGUACCUGAAGUGCGUAACCGCGAGGAGCGCCCUAGGGUAAAACUGGUGACUGGGGCUAAGUCGUAACAAGGUAAC